rfam:[Bacillus] aminovorans strain DSM 1314 DSM1314_contig_29, whole genome shotgun sequence.
UUCAGAUAAAGGCAAACUAAUCGAAAGGUUAGGACGCAAAGUUACAGGUCUAAGGCCAAGUGGCUAUGACGGCUGGGCCGCCUCA